UGGGGACCCAUGGACCACAAAUGGCCCCCAAAUGGCUCCCAAAUGGACCCCAAAUGGCCCCCAAAUGGACUCCAAAUGGACCCCAAAAUGCUCCCAAAUGGACCCCAAAUGGCCCCCAUACUGCAGCACCGCCACCUGGGGACCCAUGGACCCCAAACGGACCCCAAAUGGACCCCAAAUGGCCCCCAAAUGGCUCCCAAAUGGACCCCAAAUGGACCCCAAAUGGCUCCCAAAUGGACCCCAAAUGGCCCCCAAACGGCCCCCAUACUGCAGCACCGCCACCUGGGGACCCCCGGACCCCCAAAGGAAGGUGGCACUGGGGGUGUCCCCGUGUCCCCCCCCCCAUGUCCCACCUGGCUCUGCUGCGGCCCCACAAAGAAGCGCGCCAGCAGCGCCUGCAGGAAGCGCUGCACCUCGUGCCAGGGGUAGAUGCUGUUGGAGCCGUCCAGCAGGAUGACGAUGUCCAGGAACGUGGGGCAGCCUGCGGCAUCGGGACGGGGGAUGUGGGGGGAUGCGGGGCUGUGGGGGGGGUGGGG
rnacentral:lncRNA from 1 species